UGACAUAUUUAUAGCUUAUGUUACGGCCAUAAGAAAGGUGUAUUUAUACCGUAUGUUAA
rnacentral:tRNA from 1 species